rnacentral:rRNA from 1 species
AACGAACGCUGGCGGCAGGCUUAACACAUGCAAGUCGAACGCAUCCUUCGGGGUGAGUGGCAGACGGGUGAGUAACACGUGGGAACGUACCUUUCGGUUCGGGAUAACCCAGGGAAACUUGGGCUAAUACCGGAUACGUCCUUUAGGGGAGAAAGAUUGAUUGCCGAAAGAUCGGCCCGCGUCUGAUUAGCUAGUUGGUGGGGUAAUGGCCCACCAAGGCGACGAUCAGUAGCUGGUCUGAGAGGAUGAUCAGCCACACUGGGACUGAGACACGGCCCAGACUCCUACGGGAGGCAGCAGUGGGGAAUAUUGGACAAUGGGCGCAAGCCUGAUCCAGCCAUGCCGCGUGAGUGAUGAAGGCCCUAGGGUUGUAAAGCUCUUUCGGCGGGACGAUAAUGACGGUACCCGCAGAAGAAGCCCCGGCUAACUUCGUGCCAGCCGCCGCAGUAAC